GACGAACGCUGGCGGCGUGCUUAACACAUGCAAGUCGAACGGUGAAGGGAAGCUUGCUUCCCGGAUCAGUGGCGAACGGUGAGUAACACGUGGGCAAUCUGCCCCAGACUUUGGGAUAACUACUCGAAAGAGUAGCUAAUACCGAAUAUUCAGCCUUGCAGGCAUCUGCGAGGCUGGAAAGUUUCUCGGUCUGGGAUGAGCCCGCGGCCUAUCAGCUAGUUGGUGAGGUAAUGGCUCACCAAGGCGACGACGGGUAGCCGGCCUGAGAGGGCGACCGGCCACACUGGGACUGAGACACGGCCCAGACUCCUACGGGAGGCAGCAGUGGGGAAUAUUGCGCAAUGGGCGAAAGCCUGACGCAGCAACGCCGCGUGCGGGAUGAAGGCCUCGGUUGUAACGC
rnacentral:rRNA from 1 species